CAUUUAUUUAAACCCAAAUGAUAAUAAUAAUGAUUAGUCAUAUAUAAUUUCUACAACAUCAUUACAACAAAAUAAAAAUGGCAAAUACUGCAGGAACUAAACAAUCGAAAUCAUCAAUUUGCAAAAUUGCUGAAAAACAUUCCUAGCAUGAAUUAUCUUUACGCUUGUCUUCAUAUUGGGUUGAGACGAAUUGAAUGCCAUCGAAACUAGAAUUCCACUCGCCCAAUUUCCCACAAAAUCAACACUAAAAAGAAAAAGAAAAAAUUGUACGCCUUCGAACCCAUAAUUCCAGUUGCUCAGGGAGUCGCUUCAAGAAUUUCCCCCAAAAAUUCAAGACCAUAUAAUUACAAAAAAUGGGAUUUUGAUAUAAUUACCAACAGUUCGAAGCUUGUGCUUCACGAUGCAUUCCCUAAUGAUUUCAAACUUUCCCUUCCCUUCCCCC
rnacentral:lncRNA from 1 species